AACGAACGCUGGCGGCAUGCCUAACACAUGCAAGUCGAACGAUCGCUGCGGGGUUGGUGGCGCACGGGUGCGUAACGGGUGGGAACCUGCCCUUAGGUUCGGAAUAACUCAGAGAAAUUUGAGCUAAUACCGGAUAAUAUCUUCGGACCAUAGGUCUAUCGCCUUUGGAUGGGCCCGCGUUGUAUUAGCUAGUGGGGGGGGUAAAGGCCUACCAAGGGUACGAUCCAUACCUGGUUUGUGAGGCUGGGCCGCCACACUGGGGGGGGGACACGGCCCAGACUCCUACGGGAGGCACCAGUGGGGAAUAUUGGCAAAUCGGGGGAAGGCUGAUCCAGCACUGCCGCGUGAGUGAUGAAGGCCUUAGGGUUGUAAAGCUCGUUUACCCGGGAUGAUAAUGACAGUACCGGGAGAAUAAGCCCCGGCUAACUUCGUG
rnacentral:rRNA from 1 species